UAAAGGCCAGGGGCAGAAGGGGGUGGGAAGAACCCGGCCGCCCCGCGCGCCCCCGCUGCCGGGGUGAGCGCACGUGGGCGCCGAGCGCGGGGCCGCGCGCCCACCAUGAACUCCAGCGGCCCGGGUUACCCGCUCGCCUCGCUCUACGCGGGCGACCUGCACCCCGACGUGACUGAGGCCAUGCUCUACGAGAAGUUCUCGCCCGCUGGCCCCAUCCUGUCCAUCCGUGUGUGCCGCGACGUGGCCACCCGCCGCUCGCUGGGCUACGCCUACAUCAACUUCCAGCAGCCGGCCGACGCGGAGCGGGCACUGGACACAAUGAACUUUGAGGUGAUCAAAGGCCAGCCCAUCCGCAUCAUGUGGUCCCAACGAGACCCAGGACUUCGCAAGUCGGGUGUCGGCAACAUCUUCAUCAAGAACCUGGAAGACUCCAUUGACAACAAGGCCUUGUACGACACCUUCUCCACCUUUGGGAACAUCCUCUCUUGCAAGGUGGUGUGUGAUGAUCAUGGCUCCCGAGGCUUUGGCUUUGUGCAUUUUGAGACCCACGAGGCUGCACAGAACGCCAUCAGCACCAUGAACGGGAUGCUGCUGAAUGACCGCAAAGUCUUCGUUGGCCACUUCAAGCCCCGACGGGAGCGGGAUGCAGAGCUGGGAGCUCGGGCCAUGGAGUUCACCAAUAUCUACGUGAAGAACCUCCACGUGGACGUGGAUGAGCAGUGCCUGCAGGACCUCUUCUCCCAGUUUGGGAAGAUACUGAGUGUCAAGGUGAUGAGGGAUGACGGCGGCCACUCCCGCGGCUUUGGCUUUGUCAACUUUGAGACGCAUGAGGAAGCCCAGAAGGCUGUGAUGGACAUGAACGGGAGGGAGGUGAGUGGACGGCUGCUCUACGUAGGCCGGGCCCAGAAGCGGGUGGAGCGGCAGAAUGAGCUGAAGCGCAGGUUCGAGCAGAUGAAGCAGGACCGGCUGACCCGUUACCAGGGCGUGAACCUAUAUGUGAAGAACUUGGAUGACUCCAUCGAUGAUGAGAAACUGAGGAAAGAGUUCUCUCCCUAUGGAGUGAUCACCAGUGCCAAGGUGAUGACAGAGGGUGGCCACAGCAAAGGGUUUGGCUUUGUGUGUUUUUCCUCUCCAGAAGAGGCGACGAAGGCCGUGACAGAGAUGAACGGGCGCAUCGUGGGGACCAAGCCACUGUACGUGGCACUGGCCCAGCGCAAGGAGGAGCGGAAGGCCAUCCUGACCAACCAGUACAUGCAGCGCCUCUCCACCAUGCGGGCCCUGGGCAGCCCCCUCCUGGGCUCCUUCCAGCAGCCUGCCAGCUACUUCCUGCCCGCUACGCCCCAGCCUCCAGCCCAGGCCCCAUACUAUGGCUCUGGCCCACCUGUCCAGCCUGCCCCCAGGUGGACGGCCCAGCUACCCAGACCCUCGUCCGCCUACCCGCCUGCGGCCUCGGUUGUCCAGCCAGCAGCCGUGUCUCGGCGCCCCUCGUUCCCCAUCGGCAGUGCCAGGCAGAUCUCCACCCACGUGCCGCGCCUGGUGCCCCACGCCCAGGGAGUGGCCAACAUCGGUACCCAGACCACAGGGCCCGGUAUGGCAGGAUGCUCUUCACCAAGGGGGCCUCUCCUGACACACAGAUGUUCCUUGGCAACACACAACACCCACCGGGUCCAGGAGCCUGCUGUGUGUGUCCCCGGACAGGAGCCCCUGACUGCGUCCAUGCUGGCCGCAGCGCCGCUGCACGAGCAGAAGCAGAUGAUCGGUGAGCGUCUCUACCCCCUCAUCUACAAUGUCCACACCCAGCUGGCUGGCAAGAUCACGGGCAUGCUGCUGGAGAUCGACAACUCGGAGCUGCUGCUCCUGCUGGAGUCCCCAGAGUCCCUCAGCGCCAAGGUGGGCUGGAGCCUGCGAGGAGCGGGGAGGCCUGGGGGCAGAGGAGGGUUACGGAUCAAGGCCUCUCCUAGGCGAGCUGGUAGGCUGCUGCUUAGACAGGUGAAGUGUAUCUUCUUGCUGAAAUCAGCUAACACCCGCAGAAUGUGGAGGUGGCAGAGGGCCUUAGUGAGGGGCCGGCUACUUCAGCCCCUGCGGCCUCCCUGCAGCUCCCCAGGCAAGACUGUGCGACAGGGCGCUGUGUUCUGACCCAGCCCAAGGGUUAGGGUUCCCCCAGCCGUCUGGCAGUGUAGAAGGUGGCCGUGGGUUUCUGCCAUGGGAGCCAGUGAGCACAGUCAGAGGGGGCGGCGGGGCUGGGCGCGGGCCUUCUCGUGUCCGGUGGGCCAAGGCGGGGAGGCAGGGCUCUCCCAGGACCCUGCUGGGGCAGCUGCACCAACCCCUCCCCCGUGUGUCCCACAGGUCGAAGAGGCCCUGGCGGUGUUGCAGGACCACCAGGCCACGGAGCAGACCUGAGUGCACGUGCGCCGGGACCAGAAAAUGGACUCCUUACUCCCUUGGCUGACAAGAGAACCGCGUUUCCUGCUCUUGGCUCUAAGGCCCUGUGAACCGUAACUUCCCAACUGGGCUGUAUCUGCACUUGAGCUUUUUGUGGAAUGAAGGCUGGUCGCCCAGCCAGCCUCUUACCUGUUGCUUUGUGCAUUAAAAGUGCUGC